GAUCCUGGCUCAGGGUGAACGCUGGCGGCGUGCCUAAGACAUGCAAGUCGAGCGGGGCAGGUUUAUACCUGUUCAGCGGCGGACGGGUGAGUAACGCGUGGGUGACCUACCCGGAAGAGGCGGACAACCUGGGGAAACCCAGGCUAAUCCGCCAUGUGGUCCUGUCCUGUGGGGCAGGACUAAAGGGUGGAUAGCCCGCUUCCGGAUGGGCCCGCGUCCCAUCAGCUAGUUGGUGGGGUAAAGGCCCACCAAGGCGACGACGGGUAG
rnacentral:rRNA from 1 species